AUAAAAAUAUUCUAUUAUUACGUAUUUCUUAACGACCAGUCAUUUUGACUGCCUUUGGUAGAAAUAGUUUCAUGUUAACUAUCGGUAGUUCUAGUGUUAAGUAAUAAGUUUCAUUAAUAGGAGUAAAAGCAGUUUACCUUUUAACAUGCGUCAUAGUGGAAUGGUAUUUUAAUUUCUAGAAACCUGUAAAACACUACGUUUUGUUAAUUACUAACAGAACGUUGAAGAGCGUUGAACUAUAUCUUUAGAUGAUUUAUGGUGAUGUAGGAAUAGGUAGGCAUAUGUAUGAUUUCAUUAUGCUUUUGAAACAGACCAUCUGAAUAACUUUUUCGUUUCUGUACAAAAAAAUUUCAUAUUGCGUAUAUGCCGAAUUAAGCAUGCAAACGUUUUAAAUAAAUUGAUUUGCGAACGACUUAAUGUGCCAGAGAAUAAGAUGCAUUUGAAGCUUCUUAUUCUUAUUAGAAGAAUGAAAAACGCACUAGAAAUUGCGAAUGAAGCGUGUGCUAUUUCCAGAGAAGAUGCUCGUCAUGAAAGAAUUGCCUGUAAGUGAUUUGCUAGAUUUAAAACUGAUCGUUCAAACUUUGCUGAUGAAAACCUGCACGAUCUGAAAACUGCCGACUGAAGACAAUAAAUAAAAAGCUAUCGUGUUCAAAAUAUAUCUAUUUUCCAAGAUACAGAGUCGUGAAUUACUUGCAAAUCGACAUGAUAUAUUUUAAAUAUAAAUUCAGUUUAUAUGAGUGUGAUGAGUGUGAUACAACGAAUAUAAGUUGGUCAGUAUCAUUAACAUAGUAUCAUAGUAUCAUUGAAGAGAUACAGAGACAUUCCAGAACCAAAGACAAAAUGAUUUUCAAAGGGCAACGACAGCUGCGUAAAUUUACAUUGCAAAUAAUUCAAAGCAUUUUGAUGUAAUUUAAAUAAAAAUUUCGUUGCAAAUAUCCGUAGAACAAUUUCUCGGAAGAAAAGUAAAUUUCGUGAAUUCGGUGAAUUAGCGUAUCGUAAUACUUAAUGGCCUCAAUUUCGCGGAGUAUCGCAAUUGUGGCUCAUGCUCAAAUUGCACUCUAAAUUACACACUAUAAUCGCCUCUAGGCGGAACGAACAUGAAACUAAUCCCGAAACUUGUUUCAAGCUAGAUCAAACGUGUUUACCCAGUGUAAAGGAAGAGUCGAACAUAUUUGUCGAUGUCUGGGCUUGCAAAGUUCCAAAAGUUAGGGUCGAACGUAGAAUUAUAUGAAAUAAUAUAGUCCGUUUGUGUAUGCUUGUUUAUUAUACUAUAAUUUAUUUAUGUUACUCCAAGUUCAAAGUAUAUAAACGUUAAAAAUAUUGCAAAAAGCAUGAAGCACUUUUAAAAAAUUCUUCAAAUUAUUUUUCCAUGAAGAAGAAAUGGUUUAAUUAUUUAGAAAGAUUUGCACUUUAGAUUUUUGAAUGGCAAUAAAACAAUUAUUCCUAUUCGCUGUAAUAUAAAUCCAAAUGAUGUCAGUUUGAUCACAAUGUGUUUGAUAAGAAUGUUAAUAAAACAUCAAUAAAAGGGAAUUAAAUCUCCCAGUAGUAGUUUCAGGUUAGAAAGUUAAAGGUCGACAGUUGAUCUUCAACUCUUUGGUUAUUUGCACUGCAGGUUUAACAGUUCCACAGAAAUAUGGUCAGUAAGCGCAGCAAGCACGUUAAAAAGUUAUUAAUAUAAAGAAUCGAAAUUUUGAAAUAAUAUUGCUCGCUGGCUAUAUAUAAUGAAAGAAAUAUCUUUGUACGAAUAAAUGAACGCGUAACGAAUUGUAAAAUGAAAUUUAUUACAAUACAUGAAAUAUGCAUAUUUCGUUUGAUUUUAGAGACAGAUUAAAAAGUCUUCGUGUAAAAUGCUGUCUGCAAAAGCCUGUCUGUAUUUUUUAAAAACUUUGGCAACGUGAUCGUCGACACACUCGUUUCGAAUUAAUAUCGCCGAUGCACAUUAUAAACGUUUCGUUCGAAUAGCGUGUCUACCUGUUCAGAAUAAGGUGGGCCGCACGGUCCAUUUGUGUGAUAACCCAGAUCCGAAAACAAAAACCUUUUGUUUGGCGGUUGAAUAUCGCGAUGACGCACUUUGAUAAUCAGCAAGACUUUCGACAACUCGCAUUCCGAUAAGGUGCAAGGAAAAUGAAACCGGCGCAACGAAUGAAAACGGGCCACUCUUCUCGUCAUUUUUCCAAACAUAUGUACAUAUGUAUAGUUUUCGCCACUCUAAUCAGCAAUUUUAGUUCUAUGCUGAAAAGCUAUAAGAGAAAGUACGAGAAGCAAACGAAACCGCGUGUUAAAAUCUUUUUCUUUUCUAAUGUACACGCGAUUAUGAUUAUUAUCGUUACCUAAUAUUAUUAUUAUAUUAUUAUCUGCAAUUAUUAUUAUUACCUAUUAUUAUGAUUAUUAUUAUUACGAUUCUUUUGAUUUUAAGAGGGAAAUAUUUAAAACGGUUAUGCAUAUGACAGUUUGAGCAUUCUUUGUAUAAUUUUUCGAUACAAGCUGCUUUAAACAUAUUACAUUAGAAAUUAGCAGGUGAUCAAUUAGAAACACGAUGAAUUAUGUUAUGAAUUUUGUUAUGAAACACACAUAUCUGUGGUCUAUAUAUCGCUGCUAUUUUUCAUUUGUAAAUAUCCGUACAGUGACUGUAAAGUACAAAUACAGGUGCAUUUUAUAUGUGACAUAUAGCGUUGAUGUUUUUUAUUUGUAAAUAUAUGUGCAAUGAUUGUGACGUACAGAUACAAUUGUAUUUCAUCUGUGAUAUAUAUCGUUGUUGUUUUUUAUUUGUACAAUGUGCAAUGUAUUGUAAUGUAUUGUAAUGUAAUGCAGUUUAAGUAUGUGAAUUCAAUAGUUCCUCUUCUACAUGUUGAGAAACGCUAAGUUGGUAUGAUCGCUAGUUCCUAUAAGUUAAGUUGGUACGACUUUUAACGACGCUCUUUUGUCUUAGAAGUCGACCACGUGUUAAUUGCCCAAGCGUAUCCGGUGUGUUCAGACGUUUUGUGCGAGGUAGUGAAAUAUAAAAAGUAAUAUUCAAUCUGUGUGAAUCUAUUGAAUAUCAACCCCAAACCUAUAUUUAAUAACACUACACUAGGUUGCUAUAUUAUACCGAUAAAUACUAACAAUUCGGUUACGUUGAAUCUUGGAAAAUAUUAUACGGGACAAUCGGAGUUGAGUCGUUUCGUGUUAUCGCCAAGAACAGCGGCCGCAUGAGAAGUAGAAAGAUCAGAGUUAAAUCAGACUGUGUAAAGUCCCUCAGUUUGAUCACUCGACACGAGAACAUCGCCCCAUUAAAUUGGAAUCGCGAACAGAUACCUACAUAUAUCCGACAUGUGACACAAAAUUUUGAUGAUAAGAAAGACGAGGCGGUGCGGAGGAAACGACGUAGAAGGCGAAACGACGAAUAGCGGGAAAUCGAAAGGGGGACAACUCGGCCAUAAAUCCCACGCUGUAGAGGCAAAUCACUGGCGUGGCAAUAAAACGCACGUGUAUAGUUCCCUCUAUACUAAUCCCAGUAACAGAAUGUUCACAGAUUAUAGUGAGCCACUGUGUAUUUACGUAACAUUCUUUUUUUUAUUUAUAUCCAUAAAAUAUACCAAAAAGUUUGGCUGGAAAAGCGUGAAACACCUACAGCGGUAUAUUUCAAUGAUUAUCAUGGUGCACAAUGGAACACGCUGUGACAAUCAUUAUAUGCACAUUUUGGACUGCAAAAUUUCAAAACCACGAGGCGUAGAUUCAAAAAUGAAACCGGUGCUUAGAGUCUACAGAGUUGGAAGAUAGUGGGAUAUUGAAGCAACGAGGUAAGCCAUUACCAAUUCUCUAGAGCAUUCAGGUAUUCAACAUGUUCUCGCUGUGGGAUUGCCUGAUCAGGCUGUGAGAAGAGUUUUAUACGAAAAUCCUAAUUUCCAUCCGCCGUGGAGAAACUCAGCGAACGUGAUGUGCUUCCAAGAUUCUGCAAGAUGUAUCGAUAGUAAGCAGUAAAUCAGAUAGUUUUUAGAACAACGUGUCGAGGCAGUAAAUCGACGAAGAAACGAAAUCUUGGAGAUUGUUCUUAUUAAUCAUGUAAAAAUAUUCGAACAGUGCUGUGUGUUGUUUUCUUCAGUGUCAAAUUCAAGAGGUCAUUGCGCCGGAUUUUAUGUGGCUCGAACGAAUACACAUAAUUCUUUACGUCAUUUUCUCAAGAAAUUAUUAUUAUUAGAAAUAUAUAAAUUUUCUCAAGUAAUUUCUUCAAGAAAAGCUCUACAUCUUUUUCUUUUGUAUAUCCGUGACCUGGAGACUGCUGUUACGAAGAGAAUACAAUUCAGUGAAAAAAAUUCAAAAUAAGGAGAGGUUCAUAUUAUUGUGUUCUUGAAUAUAAAUUUUAUUUUGGGCUACAAGGUCUGGAAACAAAACAGCUGUAAGUAGAUUUCUAUUGCUGUUUUUGGAGCCCUCAGCUAGAGCUACACACCAAGGUUAACUUUUUGGUAACGUUCUUUGCUAUAAACAUAUGAACGAUGAAAAUAUAUUCCUAUUGUAUUGUAACGCUGAAAGAGAUUUCUAUUGUUGUUUCUUGUAGCCCUCAGCUAGAGCUACACACCGAGGUUAACAUUUUGGUAACGUCCUUUGCUAUAAACAUAUGAACGAUGAAACUAUAUUCCUAUUGUGUUGCAACGCUGAAAGAGUGAAAGAGAUUUCUAUUGCUGUUUCUUGUAGCCCUCAGCUAAAGCUACACACCAAGGUUAACUUUUUGGUAAUGUUCUUUGCUAUAAACAUAUGAACGAUGAAAAUAUAUUCCUAUUGUAUUGUAACGCUGAAAGAGAUUUCUAUUGUUGUUUCUUGUAGCCCUCAGCUAGAGCUACACACCGAGGUUAACAUUUUGGUAACGUUCUUUGCUAUAAACAUAUGAACGAUGAAACUAUAUUCCUAUUGUGUUGCAACGCUGAAAGAGUGAAAGAGAUUUCUAUUGCUGUUUCUUGUAGCCCUCAGCUAGAGCUACAUACCAAGGUUAACUUUUUGGUAAUGUUCUUUGCUAUAAACAUAUGAACGAUGAAAAUAUAUUCCUAUUGUAUUGUAACGCUGAAAGAGAUUUCUAUUGCUGUUUUUUGUAGCCCUUAGCUAGAGCUACACACCAAGGUUAACUUUUUGAUAACGUUCUUUGCUAUAAACAUAUGAACGAUGAAAAUAUAUUCCUAUUGUAUUGUAACGCUGAAAGAGAUUUCUAUUGCUGUUUCUUGUAGCCCUCAGCUAAAGCUACACACCAAGGUUAACCUUUUGAUAAUGUCCUUUGCUAUAAACAUAUGAACAUGCUUCCUAUCCUUCUUCUAUUGUAACACUGAAAGAGUGAGGAUCUGGGUCAGCAUACAUUAUACUUGUACCUAUACUUAUACCCAUACUUAUUUCAAUAUAUUUUUCUAUUACAAAUUCA